rnacentral:rRNA from 1 species
UACGUAGGGCGCAAGCGUUAUCCGGAAUUAUUGGGCGUAAAGAGCUCGUAGGCGGUUUGUCGCGUCUGCCGUGAAAAGUCCGGGGGCUCAACUCCGGAUCUGCGGUGGGUACGGGCAGACUAGAGUGAUGUAGGGGAGACUGGAAUUCCUGGUGUAGCGGUGAAAUGCGCAGAUAUCAGGAGGAACACCGAUGGCGAAGGCAGGUCUCUGGGCAUUAACUGACGCUGAGGAGCGAAAAGCAUGGGGGAGCGAACAGG